rnacentral:rRNA from 1 species
GUUUGAUCCUGGCUCAGGAUGAACGCUAGCGGCAGGCCUAAUACAUGCAAGUCGAACGGUGUCUUCGGACAUAGUGGCGCACGGGUGCGUAACACGUAUGCAACCUACCUUACAUUGGGGGAUAGCCUUUCGAAAGGGAGAUUAAUACCGCAUAAGACAGUAACUAGGCAUCUAGUAGCUGUUAAAGAUUUAUCGAUGUAAGCUGGGCAUGCGACCAAUUAGCUUGUUGGUGAGGUAACGGCUCACCAAGGCUAUGAUUGGUAGGGGAACUGAGAGGUCAAUCCCCCACACUGGCACUGAGAUACGGGCCAGACUCCUACGGGAGGCAGCAGUAGGGAAUAUUGGGCAAUGGACGCAAGUCUGACCCAGCCAUGCCGCGUGCAGGAUGAAGGCGUUAUGCGUUGUAAACUGCUUUUAUACAGGAAGAAACGACUCUUGCGAGAGGCAUUGACGGUACUGUAUGAAUAAGCACCGGCUAACUCCGUGCCAGCAGCCGCGGUAAUACGGAGGGUGCAAGCGUUGUCCGGAUUUAUUGGGUUUAAAGGGUGCGCAGGUGGUUUAUUAAGUCAGUGGUGAAAGACGGUCGCUCAACGAUUGCAGUGCCAUUGAAACUGGUAGACUUGAGUAAAGUAGAGGUGGGCGGAAUUGAUAGUGUAGCGGUGAAAUGCAUAGAUAUUAUCAAGAACUCCAAUUGCGUAGGCAGCUCACUUGGCUUUUACUGACACUCAUGCACGAAAGUGUGGGUAUCAAACAGGAUUAGAUACCCUGGUAGUCCACACUGUAAACGAUGAUAACUAGGUGUCGGCCGAAUCUGGGUCGGUGCCACAGCGAAAGCGUUAAGUUAUCCACCUGGGGAGUACGCCGGCAACGGUGAAACUCAAAGGAAUUGAC